rnacentral:rRNA from 1 species
GACGAACGCUGGCGGCGUGCCUAAUACAUGCAAGUCGAGCGGACGGAUGGGAGCUUGCUCUCAGACCGUCGGCGGCGGACGGGUGAGUAACAAGUGGGCAACCUGCCUGUAAGACUGGGAUAACUCCAGGAAACCGGGGUUCAGAACGGAUAACUCUUUCCCUCACAUGGGGGCAUGGUGCCAGACGGCAUCUCGCUAUCAUUUACCGAUGGGGCGGGGGGGUAUUGGCUAGUUGGUGAGGUAACGGCUUACCAAGGCGACGAUGCGUAGCCGUCCCGAGAGGGUGAUCGGUCACACUGGGACUGAGACACGGCCCAGACUCCUACGGGAGGCAGCAGUAGGGAAUCUUCCGCAAUGGGCGAAAGUCUGACGCAGCAACGCCGCGUGUGUGAUGAAGGUCUUCGGAUCGUAAAGCUCUGUGGUCAGGGAAGAACAAGUACCAGAGUAACUGCCGCUACCUUGACGUUACCUAACCAGAAAGCCACGGCUAACUACGUG